rnacentral:lncRNA from 1 species
AAAAAGAAAUAGUAAACUCCUUAUUUUUAUAUAUUUUAAAGGUCAUAAACCAUUUUUAUAAAGAACAAUUUGAACCUGUUCUGCGUAGAAAAGUUUUGAUGAAUUUUACUAGCUCUUUGCCUGGGCAGACAUAAAUACCAUGAUGCAUUUUCUGUUGUCUUUCUGGUCCUAUUAUUACAUAUCUUUUGUUUAAAGUUGAACAGGCCAACAAAUAUACUAACAAGGAGACAUAGCCUGUUGCCAAUUUCAUAAUGCAUUGUAGCUGUUUGUAUUUUGUUUCCCAUACAUAGAAGAUUCAUGGUGCUGUUUUCAAGUUACCAUGAUUUAAGAAAUAAUUGAUGCAAGC